rnacentral:lncRNA from 1 species
CUGUUUCCUUUCGCCUCACCGGAGAGACACUAUAACGUACACGUUACUGUACAUAUGCUUCAGCAAGCAUUAAAUGCGCCCCUGCGCAUUUAACGUAAUAUUCCACGCUCUUCGACACACCGAGUGUUUGCUGUUUAGAAUCUUCUCCGACGCCUCCGCUUCCUGAAAUCCUUGAACUAUUCUAUUGACCACAUUGCACCAUUACAAUCACCGUUGUAGUCU